CUGCAGGACAGUGACCCAGCAUGGCAGCCCUAAGUAUGUGUGUGACCACUUGUGGAUCUGGUUGGUGAAGGUGCCAAAGAUGGUCAGACAGAAGACGAAGCAUUCCCAAGGGUACAGCUGCUCCAGGGUCUCUGAGCUAUGGGUCCGGAACUUGUAGGCCAUGUUUAGCAGUGGCAGCAGCGUGACCAGGCAGUUGUCCUCAUUGGUCUCGAUGAAGUCGUGCCUUGUGAUGGCUGUGGGGUCAAUGUGGUGCUCCCGGAACGGCCGGAUGAAGGCCUUCCCAACAAUGGGCAGAUCCACAGGGCCCCACGUAUCAGCACCCCAAUGUACCAGGCCGGACAGGAAGUCAGCGACGAGAGCCCCUGCAACGACACCCAGGAUCACGAGGGGUGUGUGCUCCCAGCGGGCCAGCAGCAGGAGGUGGACCAAGUCGCGAUGAGACUGAAACAGAGGAUCACUGAACACCACUCCUGGAAGCGCUUGCCUGGCGAGUAAAGCGCCGCCAGCUCACGGGCUCCCGUGUGCUGUGUGCCCCAGCGCCGACCCUCCGCCUUCUUGUCCUCGUCCAGCUCCGGCUGCCGUCCCAGCGUGUCCUCGGCGCCUGCCAUGGCCCAUCGCCCGGCCCGCCCGCUCCCUUACCAGUUUAUAACUUCUAUGAAUAUUCCCAUUUAAAG
rnacentral:lncRNA from 1 species